rnacentral:rRNA from 1 species
AUUGAACGCUGGCGGCAGGCCUAACACAUGCAAGUCGAACGAGUGGCGGACGGGUGAGUAAUGUCUGGGAAACUGCCCGAUGGAGGGGGAUAACUACUGGAAACGGUAGCUAAUACCGCAUACCAUCGGAUGUGCCCAGAUGGGAUUGGCUAGUAGGUGGGGUAACGGCUAACCUAGGCAACGAUCCCUAGCUGGUCUGAGAGGUUGACCAGCCAAACUGGAACUGAGACACGGGCCAGACUCCUACGGGAGGCAGCAGGGGGGAAUAUUGCACAAUGGGCGAAAGCCUGAGGGAGCAAUGCCGCGUGAAUGAAGAAGGCCUUCGGGUUGUAAAGCUCUGUCAGCGAGGAGGCGUUACUCGAAAAGAAAGCCACGGCUAACUCCGUGCCAGCAGCCGCGGUAAUAC